rnacentral:rRNA from 1 species
UACGAAGGGGGCUAGCGUUGCUCGGAAUGACUGGGCGUAAAGGGCGCGUAGGCGGAUCAUACAGUCAGAUGUGAAAUUCCUGGGCUCAACCUGGGGGCUGCAUUUGAUACGUUCGGACUAGAGUGGGGAAGAGGGUCGUGGAAUUCCCAGUGUAGAGGUGAAAUUCGUAGAUAUUGGGAAGAACACCGGUGGCGAAGGCGGCGACCUGGUCCUUGACUGACGCUGAGGCGCGAAAGCGUGGGGAGCAAACAGG